CCCAGACUCCUACGGGAGGCAGCAGUGAGGAAUAUUGGUCAAUGGGCGGGAGCCUGAACCAGCCAUGCCGCGUGAAGGCGAGUGCCCUACGGGCGUUAAACUUCUUUUGUGCGGGAGCAAUAAGGGCCACGUGUGGCCCGAUGAGAGUACCGCACGAAUAAGCAUCGGCUAACUCCGUGCCAGCAGCCGCGGUAAUACGGAGGAUGCGAGCGUUAUCCGGAUUUAUUGGGUUUAAAGGGUGCGCAGGCGGCACGGCAAGCCGGCGGUCAAAUCGCGGGGCUCAACCCCGCCCAGCCGUCGGAACUGCCGGGCUAGAGUGGGCGAGAAGUGCGCGGAAUGCGUGGUGUAGCGGUGAAAUGCAUAGAUAUCACGCAGAACUCCGAUUGCGAAGGCAGCAUACCGGCGCCCAACUGACGCUGAAGCACGAAAGCGUGGGUAUCGAACAGGAUUAGAUACCCCAGUACG
rnacentral:rRNA from 1 species